AGCGAACGCUGGCGGUAGGCCUAACACAUGCAAGUCGAACGGCAGCACAGGAGAGCUUGCUCUCUGGGUGGCGAGUGGCGGACGGGUGAGGAAUACAUCGGAAUCUACUCCGUCGUGGGGGAUAACGUAGGGAAACUUACGCUAAUACCGCAUACGACCUACGGGUGAAAGCAGGGGACCUUCGGGCCUUGCGCGAUUGAAUGAGCCGAUGUCGGAUUAGCUAGUUGGCGGGGUAAAGGCCCACCAAGGCGACGAUCCGUAGCUGGUCUGAGAGGAUGAUCAGCCACACUGGAACUGAGACACGGUCCAGACUCCUACGGGAGGCAGCAGUGGGGAAUAUUGGACAAUGGGCGCAAGCCUGAUCCAGCCAUACCGCGUGGGUGAAGAAGGCCUUCGGGUUGUAAAGCCCUUUUGUUGGGAAAGAAAUCUAGCUGGCUAAUACCCGGUUGGGAUGACGGUACCCAAAGAAUAAGCACCGGCUAACUUCGUGCCAGCAGCCGCAGUAA
rnacentral:rRNA from 1 species